UUUCAGAUCUGCUGCUGAUUGUGCCUACCUGAACCUGCCGCCAGUCCUUCGUUGCCUGAGUGUUGUACCAACGUGUUGCUUCUACCUGUGAGGUGUGGGUGGAUGAAAAGCUACCCCGGACCGGAAACCAAAAGAUCUACAAGACCUACAGUACAGCCCUCUGGUUAUCCAAAACCUGCCUGGCGGUUUGGCUCCCAAUCAUUGCAACCCUGUGGUAGGCAGUAAGGCUGUCAACCUUUGGAUGAAACACAAUCUGCCCUGUUACUGGACCUCUCCCAGACCCCUGCUCCCAAGGCCCCGAUUUAGAAGAUCCCUCCCUUCUCCAAACAUCCCAGGCAACAAAAGUUACCAAGAAGCUAGGAGAACCCGCUGGCGAAACUUGACCAAUGCUUCCUGUGCACCUCUGAACGCGGCCAGAUAAAUAAAACCUGAUAAACUGUUUCCUGUCUCCUGAGUGUGGUUUGCAUGUGGUUCAAACAAUUAUCUAAGGAUAUGACACAUACAGUGUUUUCAUGUCUCUGCUGCCCACUCUAAUUGGCUUCAUUCAGUCCACCUGCAUUUUCCAGUCAGUUUUCCUGUUUUCACCGGUUUGUUGUACUAUUUACUCUUCAGUUCUGUUACUCCUCGCUGGUGAAUAGUGUUUUGUUCAUGCCACCCCCAUCCAUGUCAAUGCCAGCUUCUACCAUUCCAUGUCUGGCAGUAAGAUUUAUCUUUUUGUUUUAAACAUCUGUUUGCCGUUCUGCUUUUGCCUGCCUGUCUGCAUUGAGGUCCAGCCCAAGAACUUUUUAUGACAAAUGUGUUGAAAUUCAAAACAUUUUACACAAGUGUGAAUUAAUUUCACAUUGUAUAUGUUGAUGCAAGACAUGUUUGCUUUAUAUUUCAUUACUAAUAAAUAAUUGAUCAUGUUGUGAUUAUUUGUGAAAGGUAAUCUUUUUCUUUUCCCUCUAUGGGAGGACGAUGUGAUGGGUCUAUUUGAAUUGAGGAGGCAGGGUCCUUACAUAUAUACAGGUGGACUGGAUGUGGCAGAG